UCGAAUAAAUUAGUUCACAUGUCAUCCACACUCUUUCUCCCUCAGCUUGCAUUUUUGCGGUCAUCCACGACUCGCAAAUCCAUCCAUCUUCUUCUGUGUUAGCUCGCACUCGUCUCCCUAUAGCUCCUGAUGCCUCCUUCUACCUUAGCUUGCGUCCCACAGCUCGCGUAGCUACCAUUUUUUUCACCUCCAGCUCCUGCCAUCUCCUCCCCCAGCUUCUGCCUCCCACAGCUCCCACAUCUUUGGAGCUCCCUUUGUCAAAUUCUCCCUUAGCUCGUGCUUUCAUUUCCAUUGGCCACAACUCUGCCCAUAGCUCUUCCUCCACUCGCUUGCUGCAGGGCACCUUCAGCGUCCAGAUAUAUAUUUUUUGAAUUAAUUUUUGCAUUUGAUCUGGUCAAAUUUUCUUGUUUUGUUUUCUUCUCCAGCUAUAUUACUUAUUCUUUUAGCUUAGAAAAACAAAUUUUGUUCUAUUUUUUAUUUUCUUUUCUCAUUAUAUAUAUUUUAUUUUUUUGGUUAUUUGUUGGGAUAAUUUUUGGGCACCCAUUAUCAUAGAUUUCUAUUUAAUGAUUAUUCAUUAAAAAUUGUAUGAUUGAUAUUUAUAUGCGAUAACUUGAACUUUUUUUAAUUGGAAUUGAUAAUUCCAUUGAUAUGUUCUAAAAUUGAAGGGGUUUAAUGCCUUGUAAAUCUCAAUUUAUAAGUCGUUAUGCUGCUAAUUUUUUUAAAUUUUAAAUCAUAAAUUAUUUGUUAAUAUUUGAAUUAGGUAAUUAUGAAUCGUAAUUGAAUAGAUACCUUAUGAACAAGUGAUGAAUAUAAGAUAGGGGUAGAUCAAUUUUUGGAGUUUGUAAAGAACAAUGUUCAUAAUAACAAAGGAUUAUCCUAUUGUCCUUGUGUCAAGUGUUUGAAUGGGUUGUGAUAAAGUCCUAUGGAUAUUAAAAAUCAUCUAAUUUGUUUCGGGUUCUACAAAGCAUACACACAGUGGGUCUUACAUAGUGAAUCUAGAAAAUACUAUAUAUUGGUUUUGUUCGCUACAAUGGCAAGUAAGUGACGAUAUGAAGUUAUUGAUUGAAUCGUAAGUUUUUGAAUAAUUCUGUUUUGUGUUAAUAUUAAUAUAUAUUUAUUAUUUUAUAAGUGCAUAUAUUUAAUAAAUAGAUCUUUUAACGUUGUAUUGGAGGUUUGUGGAAAUGGUGAACAAGAAGAAGACUAAAAUCAAGUUGGUGAGUCUGCAUGUGAAGAGAGUACGAGAAGGCUGGGAAAGGAAGCAAGGAAAGAGUAUUUUCAUUUUGGUAGUGGUAUGACUACCAUUAGUGUAAAUGAAUGUAUAAUGUGUUGAUAGAGUUAAGUUGAUAACUAAGAUGCAUAAGUGUAUGCGAAUAUGAGAAAGUGAAUUGUGUUGUGAAAACUUGCUUGUAUAUAUAUAUAGUGUUGCAUUAUGUCAAGAGUGCCCCAGUAGAGGAUAUGUGGAUAGGCUUAAAUAUGAAACAAACAAGUAAACGUUGUUUUGUAACUUGUUCCAGUUUUUUAUAUGUGAAUUGAUAUGAUGACUAUGUGUUGAAUGUGAA